UGGGGAAUAUUGGACAAUGGGGGCAACCCUGAUCCAGCCAUGCCGCGUGAGUGAUGACGGCCUUAGGGUUGUAAAGCUCUUUUCUCCGGGACGAUAAUGACGGUACCGGAGGAAUAAGCCCCGGCUAACUUCGUGCCAGCAGCCGCGGUAAUACGAAGGGGGCUAGCGUUGCUCGGAAUCACUGGGCGUAAAGGGCGCGUAGGCGGCUGAUUUAGUCGAGGGUGAAAGCCCGUGGCUCAACCACGGAAUGGCCUUCGAUACUGGUUGGCUUGAGACCGGAAGAGGACAGCGGAACUGCGAGUGUAGAGGUGAAAUUCGUAGAUAUUCGCAAGAACACCAGUGGCGAAGGCGGCUGUCUGGUCCGGUUCUGACGCUGAGGCGCGAAAGCGUGGGGAGCAAACAGG
rnacentral:rRNA from 1 species